CCUCUCCUUCAUCUUUUCCUGCAUAAAAACUCUGCCUCAGAACAACAAAGGAAAUAUGCAAAGCGAGAAAGGAACUCAAAAGAGAGGACAUGGAUUUGCCUUGUAACUCUUCUCAACCCGGUGCAUGACAUAGAAGCCGAGGACUCCGCCAAGGAUAGUCCCGGUUAUGAUUCGAAUGUACGCCCACUUGUACGACACCAUCUCUUUCGGUCCUUCCUUUUCCUUCGAUACUAGCUACUAUCUGUGCGCAUGCAACGCAUAUUUUGGAAAAAGAAAACAGAAAUUAUUUUGGGUAAAAAUUUCUAACUUACAAAGCAAAUAUAAUUUGGAGAGAGGUUGGUGUUGGGUAAAAAAAUAUGUUUUGCAACUUAUAAUGCAAUGCCCAAGGAGGUUGGCGUUAGCUUUCACUUAUUACCUAAAUGAUUCAAGGCUUUCUUUUUAGUAUCUUGAGGUAAGAGACAAUGAUGGAUUAACUUGUAUUCAAAACACUGCAACAUUUAGAGUCCAACGAUUUCAUUAAAAAGUAAUCAAGUAUCCAGGCACCACUAUCCUCAGAUCAAAUAAGCAAAAAAACAUAAAACAAAUGACAAAUGAAACGGCACUACAAUUACUUGAUAUGCUUUUCAGUAAAUUUACCAAAUACUUUCCUUCCUUGCCACUCUCACACUAUCAUUUCUUUAAUUCGUCUUUAUGCUAUUUGCAAUUCAAAAAGUCAUAUUAUCCAAAUUGCUAAAUCCUUUCCCGAAAUUCUGAGUAAAAUUUAAUGAGAAAAGUAAAGAACAUAAAAUACAAACAAAAGUAAAGGAAGCCCCCAUCUUGUUCAGCUCAAAAACAUAGUUUUAAAAGGCGCAAAGGACUCCUGACCCUAAAUGCCGGGCAAAAUCAAGCAAGUUAGACACACAUUUUCACAGUUUUUGAAGAUAAAUAGAACACUCCUUAGAAGUUCUAGUAGUAAUCAUUGAAUGAAACUAACGCACUUUAAAAUCAGGUUAUAGCUCUAUUAAAUAUUUAAGAUCACUCAAUAAGAUUUGUGAACAAAUGUGUGGCUCAAAUCAAUGCAUAUAUCAAAGAGAGAAAAAAGACAGUUAGAGGGCACAAAAUUUGAAACUGCUUCGGAACUUCCCUUCUCCUAUGCUUUAAAAUGGCGGCAGGAACCACCAUCACCAAAUGCUUCUUUGGCGACUGUUCCCACCGCAUCGGAGGAGAGAAGCUACAAAGCGCUUCUACAACUAUUUUGGUGCAAUGAACUAGGCCUUACAUUCCCAAACUAGGCUCUAGCUUAGAAAAUUAGAAUUAUCAAGAAAAACAAUGAAAAACAUUUGUUUGGUAUCGUUGCCGUUUUUUUCUAUUUUUUAAAAAAAUAGAAUUUUUACAUGAAAUAGUACAGAAAGGGAUAGUGGAUUGCUUGCAAUUCUUACAUUCACGAUAUUUGCUCAGCAAAGAAAAAAAAAGAAAAAAAAAAAGCAACUUCUUUUUUUUCCAUGAUUUUUGUCAUCCAUUACUCGGCCGAAGUGUAUUAUUACAAGCUAACCAAUCAUGACGAAUUUUUUAUAUAGAAUUAGUGUUUCAACAAAAUAAGAUCGAAAAAAAGAGGGGGCAAUGAUGCCAAAUGAGGCCUAAAACCUAUUAAUUAUAAUUAGAGCUCAAAACAGCAGGAAUUAGACUAAAAUUUGUUCAUCUCCAACUAUGUUUAAACAAAAUUACGCAAUUAUAUUGCGCAAAAGCUAAAUAGAAUCCAAUUUACAUGAUGAGCCAAACAUUACAUUACACAAGAAAAACACAAACCCAAAACCCUAAAAACAGCAGGAGCAACUACAGAUAAGCAAAAUUGUGUACUCACAUCAUCAACACAAAAGCUAAAUAGAGUUCAAACCCAAAGAUUACAUGAGAGAAACUCAAAAUCCUAAACCCUAAUUUAUGAAUCAACCAUUAAUAAAAGGCAUGAAACUCCCUAUCUUUUUCCCUUCCAUAUUCUAUUAGAAAGGUUUAGGAGAUGAUGGAGUUGGGCAGGGUAGUCUGACCUUGCGAUGGCGACGGUGGGCGUCGGAUGGGAAGGAAGACAGCACGAUUUGCAGUCGGAUGAUCGAGCCGCCUGCCUUCCUUGUUCAGCUCGACGCAGAAGGCAGUCUCACGUUUGGCUCAAGAAAAAGAGCGAUGCCUUCCUUGUUUCACUCCAAAACUGGAAAGACAUGUUAUUCGGGUUAAUUGCAUACAGGUCCAUAUAAACAUAAUAAAUUACAAAUACAUUUCUACAAAAUUUAUUUUUCACAUAUUGUUUCUGUAAAAGUCAUGAUUUUUCCAAAUAUAUUCUUGCUGUUAAAAAAAUUUAGUUAACCAUAGGCUAAAUACUUAAUCUUGAUUAGUUAAUGAGAUGAAUUGACCUUUUUAUCUAUCUUAAAUUAAUAAUAAUUGGGACUUUUUGAAGGGCAAAUUUGUGAUGACAAAAAGGUCAUUUCACUUAUAAAAUAGAUGGACUUUAACAGUAACAAAUCAGAGAGACAUAUUUGAAAAUAUUAAGACUUUUAUAACGACAAUAUUUAAAAAUUAAACUUUAUAGCGAUAUAUUUGUAAUUCACUAUAUUUAUAAAGAUCUGUAUGAAAUUAAUCCUUAUUAUUUAUUUAACUGUAAUUUUAUUUUCGUCAAAAUUUAAACUCUAGUAAUUAACUUUAGCCCAACUCAGGCCAAAAUCAAUUAUGAAAACAAAAAGUUGAAAAAAAAAUAAAAUACUAACUCAUAUUUCACACCUUUAAUUUUUCCGUGUCAUUCGCUUUCUUUCAAAUAAAUAUCAAAACUGAAAAAAAAUUUAGUUCCACCACCAUACAAAUAAAUACCAGAAGAAAAUUAAUUUUUAUUUGAAUUUCAGUUUCAUUCAAAAGUUUACUUCAAUCUCAAUUUCAUUUUCGGUGAAACAAAUAGACCACAGGUGUAAGAAGGUAAAAUGUACAGAACAUAUCUCAAUUAUAGACCAUUUUAAAUUGACUAUCAAAUCUUUUAAAAUUUUAAUUUUAUUGUCCAAUCUGUUAAUUUGUUUGAUUGACUCUGUCAGCAAUACUUUAAUUUCAAAUUUUGAAUACGCCGUUAUCUUUACCAGUUCAAUUAGUAUACUUCAUACAAUUCUCGCUACUAUAAUUUUAUUAAAGUGAACAGUUAACUUAAAUUUUGAGAUUAAAGGUCGCCAACUGACUUAUAUCAAACAAAUUGAAAGAUUAAAUAGUAAAUUCAAAAUUUUGAAUUUCAAGAUAAUACAUUAGGUCAGGUAAGUUAUACACUUGUUUAGCGUGCAAGAAUUACUCUCCACUCACUAAUAAAGGUUACUAUUUUCGUAGUAGUAUUAUUAACUUUUUUUCUUUUAAUACUAAAAAGAAUUUUGUGAACCCUAACACUCCGUUUGGAUUGAAUAUAAGAUGGGUUUGGAUUGAAUAUAAGAUGGGGUAUAAAGGCCUUAUACCCCAUCUUGUACCCAAACGCAAUUUGGUUAAGGUGAGAACUAUACGGAUUAUUCUAGAAAUAACCCGUUAAGGAUGGGAACUAUAGUUCUCAUCCCGAGUGGGAACAAGCUUAGGAACAAGCUUGUUCCCACCCACUUGGGUACAGAGAGAGAGAGAGAGAGAGAGAGUGAGUGAGUGAGGUUUGUUUUAAAAUAGAAUUUAAAUUUUUUAGAAUUUAAAAUAUGUAAUUUUAAAAUUAAAAUUGUAAAUCAUAAAUUCUAAAUUUUAAAGUUUAAAAUUUAAAUUUGAUAUUACAAAUUUUUAAAUUUUAACUGUGAUAUUUUAACUAUUUCAAAUUUAAAUUUGGUCUUAAAUUUAAAUUUUAAAAUUUAUAAAUUUAAAUUUUAAAAUUUAUAAAUUUAAAUUUUUAAAUUCAAUUAUAGGAAUAAUAUCAUUAUUUUCUAUUUAUAAUUAUCAACUAUUUCUCUUAUACCAAAUAACUAUCCAAAUAUAAUUUUUCUAGUUCCAGCUUAUACUAAUAUUUUAAUCCAAACAAAAUAAAUACCCUGAUUCUUACAAAAAUUCAUACUUAUACCUAUUUCUGGAAUAACUAGUUCCUACUAAUUUACGAACCAAACGAAGCCUAAAGAUUACUUCACAUUUAUAUAUGUAUUUAUUCUUAAAAUAUGCUCCUUCUCUCUCUCUCUCUCUCUCUCUCUCUCUCUCUCUCUCAAUAAAAGAAAAAACAAAACAAAAGAAACUUUUUUU
rnacentral:lncRNA from 1 species